rnacentral:sRNA from 1 species
ACCUUAACUUCCCUGAGCUCUAUUUUCUCCAUUUCAGAUCAGCAUCCCCAGAACACACUUGUAUUAAGUCAAAGACCUUGGACCCAAUGGUCAUCUUCUUCACCAGUGGGACCACAGGCUUCCCCAAGAUGGCAAAACACUCCCAUGGGUUGGCCUUACAGCCCUCCUUCCCAGGAAGGAGGAAAUUAUGGAGCCUAAAGACAUCCGAUGUCUGCUGGUGCCUGUCGGACUCAGGAUGGAUCGUGGCUACCAUUUGGACCCUGGUAGAACCAUGGACAGCGGGAUGUACAGUCUUUAUCCACCAUCUGCCACAGUUUGACACCAAGGUCAUUGUACAGACAUUGUUGAAAUACCCCAUCAACCACUUUUGGGGGGUAUCAUCUAUAUUUCGAAUGAUUCUGCAGCAGGAUUUCACCAGUAUCAGGUUCCCUGCCCUGGAGCAUUGCUGUACUAGCGGGGAGGUCAUGUUUCCCAAGGAUCAGGAGGAGUGGAAAAGACGGACGGGCCUUCUGCUCUACGAGAACUAUGGGCAGUCGGAAACGGGACUAAUUUGUGCCACCUUCCCGGGAAUGAAGAUCAAGCCGGGUUUCAUGGGGAAGGCCACUCCACCCUACGACGUCCAGGUCUGGUCCUAAGGGCAUUGGCAGGGAGCAGUUAGGGCUCAGUGGGGGUUGGACAAUUUGACACCAGGUGACAACACCAGCCGCACUUCCCUGCUGCAGUCAUCCUUCCUCCUGUCUUCUCAUUUUUCCUUCAGUUUCGUAUGGAGGCCUCAGUUGAAAACUGCAUUAUUGUGGGCAUGAACACCGCUGACCCUGGCAGCCAGGGCAUCACACACAGUAUGUAGGAAAGAAUACCUAGAGGCUGCACUGGCAGCCCUCUCUAGCAAGUGGUGCUUUUCAUUUUUGUUGAUCAGUGUUUUCCAACUUGAAGACACAUUGGUGACAUCUACUAACUCAUGAAACAUAGACCCUUGGUUGAGUUUCACAUUUGCUUAUUUUAAAGGCUUUUGACAGUUUUAUUCCAUUUUCUGAUGUUUCCUCCGUUAUUUCAUCCACACUGGUGUCCCAUGCAUAAGCCAGACAGUGCUUGGGUGGGGCAGAAGGGCUGGGGCCUCCUGCAGUGUAUGAUUCACAGGCCUCUUGCUACAGGUCAUUGAUGACAAGGGCAGCAUCCUGCCACCCAACACAGAAGGAAACAUUGGCAUCAGAAUCAAGCCUGUCAGGCCUGUAAGCCUCUUCAAGUGCUAUGAGGGUGACCCAGAGAAGACAGCUGAAGUGGAAUGCGGGGACUUCUACAACACUGGGGACAGAGGUAUCGCAUCGGGCCUGCAGAGGUUGAAAGCGCUUUGGUGGAGCACCCAGCGGUGGCGGAGUCAGCCGUGGUGGGCAGCCCAGACCCGAUUCGAGGGGAG